GAUGAACGCUGGCGGCGUGCCUAAUACAUGCAAGUCGAGCGAAUGGAUUAAGAGCUUGCUCUUAUGAAGUUAGCGGCGGACGGGUGAGUAACACGUGGGUAACCUGCCCAUAAGACUGGGAUAACUCCGGGAAACCGGGGCUAAUACCGGAUAAUAUUUUGAACUGCAUGGUUCAAAAUUGAAAGGCGGCUUCGGCUGUCACUUAUGGAUGGACCCGCGUCGCAUUAGCUAGUUGGUGAGGUAACGGCGAAACAAGGCAACGAUGCGUAGCCGACCUGAGAGGGUGAUCGGCCACACUGGGACUGAGACACGGCCCAGACUCCUACGGGAGGCAGCAGUAGGGAAUCUUCCGCAAUGGACGAAAGUCUGACGGAGCAACGCCGCGUGAGUGAUGAAGGCUUUCGGGUCGUAAAACUCUGUUGUUAGGGAAGAACAAGUGCUAGUUGAAUAAGCUGGCACCUUGACGGUACCUAACCAGAAAGCCACGGCUAACUACGUGCCAGCCGCCGCUGUAA
rnacentral:rRNA from 1 species